UUAGACUAAUUUUGACGUCCUGGAUCCGUUUUCCGAAAUUCAAUCGUUUGAGUAUAGUUUUGUUAAUUGUACCCCUUAUGUGCCUAGGUGCAAUUAUUAGCGGCGAUUCUGUCAUUCCUUUUUUGUACUGCUCUUCGACGAUGGAGUAUAUGUGAGUGUCCCUAAAAUGCAUGUUUUAAUAGUAGAAAUGCACAUACAUGAAAAGCAUGAGUUAAUGGUUACGUUUUAUGAAACGUUUUAUAAGUAAAUUAGAUUUACACUUACGAUAUAUCAUGCUUUACUACGAAUAUUUUAGAAUACCAUAUUUUAUCGAAAUGAUGUUCUUUAUAGUAUAUAUGAUGGAUGACUAUAUACUAUCUAUGAACAUGCUUUUACACACUUCUUUAUAGUAUAUAUAUAAUGGAUAACUAUAUGCUAUGAAAAUGUUUUGAGAUAUAUGUACCUAUGUUUGGAAAGACUAUGAAUGGUUUUGUGCAUAUCUAGUGGUCACAUAUUGACCUUCAGGUUGGGUGCUGUAGGAGCCUUCGGGCGAUGAUACUUAUAUUGACCUUCAGGUUGGGUGUUGUAAGAGCUUGCGGGCGAUAAUACUUAUAUUGACCUUCAGGUUAGGUGUUAUAGAAGCCUGCGGGCGAUGAUACUUAUAUUGACCUUCGGGUUGGGUGCUGUAGGAGCCUACGGACGAUUGAUACUUGUGAAGGAAAUGUUCUGAAUGAAGAGUUCUAUAUGUCUUCUGGCGAUACUGAUACCACUAGUUAGCACACUAUAUAUGAUAUAUGUUUCAUGAAAGUUUUUAUGGCAUGCUAGGGUUUCAGAAAACCUAUCACAUAUUAUGCUAUUAGUUUUCAUAAAACUUUGGGGGUUAGUAUAUUGAUAACUAUUUUAGUAUUAUUUAUAUAUAUCAACUUGGUCCACUCAUGUUCGUUUUGCGCCCCCUCAGGACAAAGGAAUGAGGAAUACGAUCCGAGAUACAAGGCAUUCCCCUACUAGUUGUUGAAUAUAUCACUGCCAACUCAUCUCUGCCAGCUCAUCAAAACAGUUGUAAAGGAUUGGAUGAUGUAAUAGUUAGUUGAAAGAGUUAGUUAGUCCUCUAGUCAGUUAUAUAUAGCUAUUGUAAACAGAUAGUAAAGUUAAUUCAUUGAGUUUAAUACAAAAGCUUCAUUCAUUUCUUUCUCACAUUUCUCUUCUCUCAGUAAAACUUCAUUUCUUGAUUUUAUAAUUGUUCAUCUCUGCUACUUCUCCAAUGUAGUUAACACCAAUGAUACCGUGUCAUCCUCUCUACUUUGACUUCUAUUGUAAUAGCUCUUCUCUAUUUUAUCUUCUGCUUGUACUCUGGAUUAGUUGUAUGCUAUGAACAUGUUAUGCAUUAUCAGUAGUUUCAUUCUUGGCAGUUGAAUAUUAGUAUAUUAUUUUAUGUAGUUCAAACGAAAUUUAUAUGUAUGUUUUACAUGUUAUCAGCAUAUGCAUUCAUUAAAUAGCUUUCGACACCCUUGAGUGUCGGCCAACACGCGUGUGACACCACCUCUUCAACGCCAUCAGAUCUUGCGAACAGGAUGAAGGGGACGUUUGUGUCGGAGUAGCCAUCAUGGGAGAGUAAAAUCCAACCCAGAUUGGGGCCGGGAGAGAAAGAACUAAGAAAUUAAGGUCUGAUGUUCCGCAAAGAAGAGAGAGAGAAGAGAGAGAGGGGUCUGAUGCGUGGAGAAAAGAGAGGUCUGAUUCAAGCAAUGAUUUUAAUAUAUGGAUGAGAAAGAGACGGUUAAAGUUAUCAUAUUUUCUGCUGGAAAACCGACGUUAUGUAAGAUUUGGAUACAAGAUAAGAUUCAUGUUACUAUUUUGGGACGUUAUCAAGUAGUGAUGGGUGGAUCAUGUGAUAGCAAGUGGUGGAAAUUCACUUUUAGAAUCAACUUUCAUACAAAUAUAAAAGGUAAAGCAGAGAAAAAGCAAAUAUUAUACCCGUAGAGAGAAGAUCUGAGGCAUGUGAAUUCAAGAACAUGCAACGCAAGGCCAGACAUAUAGAUCUCAUUUAGUGUUUAGGAUUGGUUUGGACCAGAUAACUCUCUUGGUUCAGUGCAUGUUGAGUGAAAACGUAGAUAUGUCAACCUGCAUAGUUUGUCCAAAUAGUUUUCUUUCGUGAAAAUUCAUCUUCUAGCUUCA
rnacentral:lncRNA from 1 species